UACGAAGGGGGCUAGCGUUGCUCGGAAUCACUGGGCGUAAAGGGCGCGUAGGCGGGAUGGCAAGUCGGUCGUGAAAUCCUUCGGCUCAACCGAAGAACGUCGAUCGAUACUGCUGUUCUUGAGGGUUGCAGAGGAGACUGGAAUUCCCGGUGUAGCGGUGAAAUGUGUAGAGAUCGGGAGGAACACCGGUGGCGAAGGCGGGUCUCUGGGCAAUUCCUGACGCUGAGGCGCGAAAGCGUGGGGAGCAAACGGG
rnacentral:rRNA from 1 species